GCCUCCGUGGCUUAGUGGUAGAGCAGCAGACUUGUAAUCUGCCGGUCGUGGGUUCAAGUCCCACCGGGGGCUCCA
rnacentral:tRNA from 1 species